CAGGUUUACCUGUGUGACUGCGUACCUUUUGUAUAAUGGGUCAGCGACUUAUAUUCUGUAGCAAGGUUAACCGUAUAGGGGAGCCGCAGGGAAACCGAGUCUUAAUUGGGCGUUAAGUUGCAGGGUAUAGACCCGAAACCCGGUGAUCUAGCCAUGGGCAGGUUGAAGGUUGGGUAACACUAACUGGAGGACCGAACCGACUAAUGUUGAAAAAUUAGCGGAUGACCUGUGGCUGGGGGUGAAAGGCCAAUCAAACCGGGAGAUAGCUGGUUCUCCCCGAAAGCUAUUUAGGUAGCGCCUCGUGAAUUCAUCUCCGGGGGUAGAGCACUGUUUCGGCUAGGGGGCCAUCCCGGCUUACCAACCCGAUGCAAACUGCGAAUACCGGAGAAUGUUAUCACGGGAGACACACGGCGGGUGCUAACGUCCGUCGUGAAGAGGGAAACAACCCAGACCGCCAGCUAAGGUCCCAAAGUCAUGGUUAAGUGGGAAACGAUGUGGGAAGGCCCAGACAGCCAGGAUGUUGGCUUAGAAGCAGCCAUCAUUUAAAGAAAGCGUAAUAGCUCACUGGUCGAGUCGGCCUGCGCGGAAGAUGUAACGGGGCUAAACCAU
rnacentral:rRNA from 1 species